rnacentral:rRNA from 1 species
UCCGUUGAUCCUGCGGAAGGUUGCUGCUAUUAGGAUUCGACUUAGCCAUGCAAGUCUUCUCGCAAGAGAGGCAAACUGCUCAGUAACACGUUGAUAAUCUGCCUUUUGGUCUGGGAUAACCUUGGGAAACUGAGGAUAAAACCGGAUAGGAGAUUAAUUCUGGAACGAUUUUUCUCCCAAAAGCAAUGCCAAAAGAUGAGUCAGCGGCGGAUUAGGUUGUUGGUGAGGUAAAGGCUCACCAAGCCGAAGAUCCGUAAGGGCCUUGAGAGAGGGAGCCCUGAGAAGGACACUUAGAUACUGGUCCUAGCCCCACGGGGUGCAGCAGGCGCGAAAACUUUACAAUGCACGCAAGUGUGAUAAGGGAAUCCUAAGUGCUUAUGUUUUACAUAGGCUUUUGCCAAGGGUAAGUACCUUGGCGAAUAAGUGGUGGGUCAGACAGGUGCCAGCCGCCGCGGUAACACCUGCGCCACAAGUGGGAAUCACUUUUAUUGGGCCUAAAGCGUCCGUAGCCGGUUUGAUAAAUCUUCUGUGAAAUCAUUAAGCUCAACUUAAUGGAUUGCAGAAGACACUAUCAGACUAGGAACCGGGAGGAGCUAGAAGUAUUUUUGGGGGAGCGGUAAAAUGCUAUAAUCCCAAAAAGACUACCAGUGGUGAAGACGUCUAGCUAGAACGGGUUCGACGGUGAGGGACGAAAGCUAGGGGAGCGAUCCGGAUUAGAUACCCGAGUAGUCCUAGCUGUAAACGCUGCGAGCAAGGUGUUGUAUAAUCUACGUGAUUGUGCAGUGUCGAAACGAAGGUGAUAAGCUCGCCGCCUGGGAAGUACGGUCGCAAGACUGAAACUUAAAGGAAUUGGCGGGGGAGCACUACAAGGGGUGCGGCGUGCGGUUUAAUCUAAUUCAACGCAGAAAAUCUCACCAGAAGCGACGGCAGGAUGAAGGUCAAGCUGAAGACUUUACCUGACGAGCCGAGAGGUAGUGCAUGGCCGCCGUCAGCUCGUGCCGUGAGGUGUCCUGUUAAGUCAGGCAACGAGCGAGACCUGUACCUAUAAUUGCUAACAACCAUUUAUGGAAUUGAGCACAUUAUAGGGACUGCCUUGGAAACAAGGAGGAAGGUGCAGGCUACGGUAGGUCUGUAUGCUCCGAAUCCUCUGGGCUACACGCGCGCAACAAUGGUAUAGACAAUGGGAUACAACUCCGAAAGGAGAAGUUAAUCCUCUAAACUAUGCCUUAGUACGGAUUGAGGGUUGCAACUCACCCUCAUGACGAUGGAAUCCCUAGUAAUCGGACGUCAUUAUCGUCCGGUGAAUAUGUCCCUGCUCCUUGCACACACCGCCCGUCAAACCACUCGAGCAGGGUUUAGAUAAGCGACAUCGUUUUAGAUAUUGCGAAUCUAAACUCAGUGAGAUGGGUUAAGUCGUCACAAGGUA